CCUACGGGUGGCAGCAGUAGGGAAUUUUGCGCAAUGGGGGAAACCCUGACGCAGCAACGCCGCGUGAUCGAUGAAGCCCUUCGGGGUGUAAAGCUCUAUCAGCAGGGAAGAAAAUGACGGUACCUGAGUAAGAAGCCCCGGCUAACUACGUGCCAGCAGCCGCGGUAAUACGUAGGGGGCAAGCGUUAUCCGGAUUUACUGGGUGUAAAGGGAGCGUAGACGGCAGUGCAAGUCUGGAGUGAAAGGCGGGGGCUCAACCCCCGGACUGCUCAGGAAACUGUACGGCUGGAGUGCAGGAGAGGUAAGUGGAAUUCCUAGUGUAGCGGUGAAAUGCGUAGAUAUUAGGAGGAACACCAGUGGCGAAGGCGGCUUACUGGACUGUAACUGACGUUGAGGCUCGAAAGCGUGGGGAGCAAACAGGAUUAGAUACCCGUGUAGUC
rnacentral:rRNA from 1 species